rnacentral:rRNA from 1 species
UACGUAGGGUGCAAGCGUUAAUCGGAAUGACUGGGCGUAAAGGGUGCGCAGGCGGUCUGCUAAGACAGAGGUGAAAAUCCCCGGGCUUAACCUGGGAAUGGCCUAUGUGACUGGCAGGCUAGAGGAUGGCAGAGGGAGGCGGAAUGCCACGUGUAGCAGUGAAAUGCGUAGAGAAUGUGGCGGAACACCGAUGGGCGAAGGCAGCCUCCUGGGCCAGCACUGACGCUCAUGCACAAAGCUGGG